rnacentral:tRNA from 1 species
GGUACUCUGGCCGAGUGGUCUAAGGCGUCAGGUUAAGGUCCUGGUCUCUACGGAGGCGCGAGUUCGAACCUCGCGAGUAUCA